AUUGAACGCCGGCGGCAGGCUUAACACAUGCAAGUCGAGCGGGGUGAUGGUGCUUGCACUAUCACUUAGCGGCGGACGGGUGAGUAAUGCUUAGGAAUCUGCCUAUUAGUGGGGGACAACAUCUCGAAAGGGAUGCUAAUACCGCAUACGUCCUACGGGAGAAAGCAGGGGAUCACUUGUGACCUUGCGCUAAUAGAUGAGCCUAGGUCGGAUUAGCUAGUUGGUGGGGUAAAGGCCUACCAAGGCGACGAUCUGUAGCGGGUCUGAGAGGAUGAUCCGCCACACUGGGACUGAGACACGGCCCAGACUCCGACGGGAGGCAGCAGUGGGGAAUAUUGGACAAUGGGGGGAACCCUGAUCCAGCCGUGCCGCGUGUGUGAAGAAGGCCUUAUGGUUGUAAAGCACUUUAAGCGAGGAGGAGGCUCUUUUGGUUAAUACCCAAGAUGAGUGGACGUUACUCGCAGAAUAAGCACCGGCUAACUCUGUGCCAGCCGCCGCGGUAA
rnacentral:rRNA from 1 species